GACUUGACCCCAACUCAGUCACACUGACGGUGAACGGGAAGAACGAGUAGCAGGUGUGUUCCUACGUCUAGAAGAGAGGGCGCUGGCUGGUCCUAACUAUGACCAACUGGACGUAGACUUCUUUGGCAUAUUCAACACAAGACUACAUUGGACACUACCAUGCCCGCAGUGAAGAAAAGAAAUUUCUGUUGGUGUUUGGGCGGCACCCGUCCCCCAGAGAUCACCUUCGACCCCGCUGUCAACGGCACUGCCCUGCAGUCUUUCCACGCUGGCGGCCUCCUCCCCAUGCCUGAGGAUGAGGAGGAGCUGAACGUAAAAUUUGCUGAAC